AUACGUAGGUGGCGAGCGUUAUCCGGAAUUACUGGGUGUAAAGGGCGUGUAGGCGGGGAUGCAAGUCAGAUGUGAAAUUCCGGGGCUCAACCUCGGCACUGCAUCUGAAACUGUGUCUCUUGAGUGCUGGAGAGGAAAGUGGAAUUCCUAGUGUAGCGGUGAAAUGCGUAGAGAUUAGGAGGAACACCAGUGGCGAAGGCGACUUUCUGGACAGCAACUGACGCUGAGGCGCGAGAGCGUGGGGAGCAAACAGGAUUAGAUACCCUGGUAGUCCACGCCGUAAACGAUGGAUACUAGGUGUAGGAGGUAUCGACCCCUUCUGUGCCGUAGUUAACACAAUAAGUAUCCCACCUGGGGAGUACGGCCGCAAGGCUGAA
rnacentral:rRNA from 1 species